rnacentral:lncRNA from 1 species
GAUGGUGCAGAAGGAGCCAGCCUUCCUGGGAAGGGGCUGUGGUCGCUGGCGGCAGGCAGGCCAUUCAGGAGCCAGAGCCUGGAUGAGCGUGCUCACCACCACCACGUUUACUCUGCGUGAGUAUCUGGAAAUUAAACUAACGUGUCAAGCUAGUGAUUUCACAGAAAAUUUUGCUCAGGUGCAAAGCUAAACGAUGUAUUUAAAUCAAUUCAUUAAUUUAACUGGAAAACCCGUGACUGUCUAAGGCUGGGCUCCCCCAGAAGUAGAUCCCGAAACAAGGGUGGGAGGGUGUCAAAGCGUUGUAACAAAUGACUUCAAACUAGGCAAACAAAGAUUUCUUCUCCAUCCUGGAGGCCGGGAGUCAGAAGUCAGGGCUGUGUCCCUCUGGGGCUCUGAGGGGGUCAGCACCUUCCCCAGCUCCCGGUGCUGCCGCAGCCCUCCGUGUCCUUGGCUUGCGGACGCCUCACCCCCAUCUCCGUCUCCGUCAUCACCUGGCGUUUUUUCUGUGCCCAUGUCUGCUUUUCUUUGUCUUAGAAGGACACACGUCGCUGGAUUUAGAGCCGCUGGAAUGCAGGACAAUCUGGCCUGGAGAUCCUUACCUUAAUUCCAGCUGCAAGGAUGCUUAUUGCAAAUAAGAUCGCGUUCUGAGGUCUGGGUGGGCAUAUUCUGGGAGGCCACGGUUCAGCCCGCCACAGGAGGACACAUCGUUUGUUUCGGAGGUGGUGGGCCCCGCAGGCUUGACCUGGUCCUGCGACAGUGGAGCACGUGGAGUUGGAGAUGGGAAGCCUGCGUGACUGCUGCCCUUGUUCCGCUCCUCUCCCAUGUGGAGCUGGCCUUGCAGCAGCAUGCGCCAGUUGAGGACGACAGUGAUCUCGGAGGAUGCGUGGUCUUCAGCUGCCCCUGGGAAUGCACUGUCUUUGGGCUCACAUGGCAGAGCUGCGGCCCAGGCUCAGCAGGUCAGUAGACUCCUAGGCUGCGCCUGGAGGAUCCUGGGGAGGGGGCAUGGCGCACGGAGACCCCAGUGCCUGCCCUCUCAUUGGUUUGUGGGUCUUUGGCUCCAUCUCCAGCCCCCACGUGACACCCAUCACGUGGCCAGUGGGCUUCAUUUGUCACAGUGCCCUGGGGGGAGGGAAUCCAGUUCCCGGGCCCCGUUCUGCAAUUGCAUCCUUUGA